rnacentral:rRNA from 1 species
UACGAAGGGGGCUAGCGUUGCUCGGAAUCACUGGGCGUAAAGCGCACGUAGGCGGCUUUCUAAGUCAGACGUGAAAUCCCUCAGCUUAACUGGGGAACUGCGUCUGAUACUGGAUGGCUUGAGUUUGGGAGAGGGAUGCGGAAUUCCAGGUGUAGCGGUGAAAUGCGUAGAUAUCUGGAGGAACACCGGUGGCGAAGGCGGCAUCCUGGACCAACACUGACACUGAUGAGCGAAAGCCAGGGGAGCAAACGGG